rnacentral:rRNA from 1 species
ACUUGGAUACCGUAGUAAUUCUAGAGCUAAUACAUGCUUCAAACCCCGACUUCUGGAAGGGGGGUUUUUUUUAAAUGGAAACCACCGCCGGGGUCCCGGAUGAAGGUGAUUCCUAAUAAUUUUUGGAUCGAUCGUAUGAUCGAUGCAUCAUUCAAGUUUCUGCCCUACCUCUUUGGAUGGUAGGGUAUUGGCCUACCAUGGCAUUUACGUAACGGAGAUAAUUAUUCGAUUCCUCCGGAGGAGGAGCCUGAAUAAUGGCUACCUCCACCGAAGAAGGCAGCAGGCGCGUUUAUUACCCCCUCCUGCCGGGAGGAGGUGACGACAAAUAAUAAUAAUGUUGCUUCUUUCUUUGUCUUUGGAAUGAAAACAAAAUAAAUUCCUUACCAUAGAUCAAAUGAUU